rnacentral:rRNA from 1 species
GACGAACGCUGGCGGCGUGCUUAACACAUGCAAGUCGAACGGAAAGGCCCUGCUUUUGUGGGGUGCUCGAGUGGCGAACGGGUGAGUAACACGUGAGUAACCUGCCCUUGACUUUGGGAUAACUUCAGGAAACUGGGGCUAAUACCGGAUAGGAGCUCCUGCUGCAUGGUGGGGGUUGGAAAGUUUCGGCGGUUGGGGAUGGACUCGCGGCUUAUCAGCUUGUUGGUGAGGUAGUGGCUUACCAAGGCUUUGACGGGUAGCCGGCCUGAGAGGGUGACCGGCGACAUUGGGACUGAGAUACGGCGCAGACUCCUACGGGAGGCAGCAGGGGGGAAUAUGGCACAAUGGGCGGAAGCCUGAUGCAGCAACGCCGCGUGCGGGAUGACGGCCUUCGGGUGAUGAACAGCUUUCGCCUGUGACGAAGCGUGAGUGACGGUAAUGAGUAAAGAAGCACCGGCUAACUACGUG